CCAAAAACGCAAACGUUAAUCAUCUUAAACAGGCGUAAAGGGUUUGUAGGCUGCUUUUUGUAGUUUUAACUUUAAUAGAUCGAAGAUAAAAUUCAUAAAAAGCUAGAAUCAAAUAGAGGUUAAAUUGUAUAAUGCUUAGAAGAGGGUCGAUAUCCGUAGAUCCUAAGUGGAAUACUCAAGGCGAAAGCCACUUUCCAUUAAUGAUUGACGCUGAGAAACGAAGGUUAGGGUAGGAAAUAGGAUUAGAUACCCAGGUACCCCUAUCUGUCAACGAUGAAUGGUAGUCUUUACUUAAAAAAAGUAGAGGCGAAGUUAACACGAUAACCAUUCCGCCUUGUGAGUACGAUUGCAAAAUUGAAAACAAAAAAAUUA
rnacentral:rRNA from 1 species